rnacentral:rRNA from 1 species
UGGGGAAUAUUGCACAAUGGGCGAAAGCCUGAUGCAGCAACGCCGCGUGAGUGAUGAAGGCCUUCGGGUUGUAAAGCUCUGUCUUUUGGGACGAUAAUGACGGUACCAAAGGAGGAAGCCACGGCUAACUACGUGCCAGCAGCCGCGGUAAUACGUAGGUGGCAAGCGUUGUCCGGAUUUACUGGGCGUAAAGGAUGCGUAGGCGGAUUUUUAAGUGAGAUGUGAAAACCCUAAGCUUAACUUGGGGACUGCAUUUCAUACUGGAAAUCUAGAGUGCGGGAGAGGAGAAUGGAAUUCCUAGUGUAGCGGUGAAAUGCGUAGAGAUUAGGAAGAACACCAGUGGCGAAGGCGAUUCUCUGGACCGUAACUGACGCUGAGGCAUGAAAGCGUGGGUAGCAAACAGGAUUAGAUACCCUGGUAGUCCACGCCGUAAACGAUGAGUACUAGGUGUAGGAGGUAUCGACCCCUUCUGUGCCGCAGUUAACACAAUAAGUACUCCGCCUGGGAAGUACGAUCGCAAGAUUAAAAACUCAAAUGAAUUGACGGGGUC